rnacentral:rRNA from 1 species
CCUACGGGUGGCUGCAGUGGGGAAUAUUGGACAAUGGGCGAAAGCCUGAUCCAACCAUGCCGCGUGCGUGAAGAAGGCCUUCGGGUUGUAAAGCACUUUCAGUGGGGAAGAAAGCCUUGGGGCUAAUACCCUCGAGGAAGGACAUCACCCACAGAAGAAGCACCGGCUAACUCCGUGCCAGCAGCCGCGGUAAUACGGAGGGUGCGAGCGUUAAUCGGAAUUACUGGGCGUAAAGCGCGCGUAGGCGGUCUGAUAAGCCGGUUGUGAAAGCCCCGGGCUCAACCUGGGAACGGCAUCCGGAACUGUCAGGCUAGAGUGCAGGAGAGGAAGGUAGAAUUCCCGGUGUAGCGGUGAAAUGCGUAGAGAUCGGGAGGAAUACCAGUGGCGAAGGCGGCCUUCUGGACUGACACUGACGCUGAGGUGCGAAAGCGUGGGUAGCAAACAGGAUUAGAUACCCUAGUAGUC